AAUACUUCUAGAUGUUACUCGAAUUGACUAAAAUAUGUUUUCGAGAGGGUUUUAUUUUAUAAUCCCAUCAUUAAUACUACAUUUUAACAACUUUCUAAUUUAUAACUACACACUCUCUUUGAGUUUGUUCACAAAUGUUGAACGACAGUAAACCGUCAAUAAACAAGCCUAAAUUUACAAGUGAUCACUACAUUUUAUUCAACAAAAUGAGGAACAGAUAAAUUGUAAGUUUUACAUCUUUUAAUGGAGUCCGAAGGACCUGUGCCCCGACGCUUUGGCCGCCCUUGCGAAAAGAACAAGAAUGCUGCAGACCGGUUCCGAAGCGCGCACAGGCGUCAGUCUCCGCAGUCCAACAAGCUGAACCCGGAGAAGGCUAACCGGAACCCUUCCCUCGAAAACGAGCUCGGGAAGAGGCGCUCCUUACAAAAACCUGAUAUGGACAGCCAUCAUAGGUGAUCCUUCAUCUAAUGAGCCUUCCUGCAUAGACUAACACCUAGAGCUGUCCUUUUCCAACUUAACAUUUUCCCAAUGAACUCGCCUAUUAGAAACGCCUACAGGACCUGAGGAGCUAUCGAACUCCAACAAGUUGUAUCAUCAACAGAUAUUUGCCAUGGAGUGCUCAUGGACUUUACGUACCUACAGUAAAACUUUAUUUCCAAUGAUCCUUUCUAAUCAGACAAAACCAACUGAUAUUAGAACACUUCUUAUCCAACUUCACUGCAAUGAGCUCGGCACGGUGGCGCUCUUAGUGAUCGACUCUGAUACAUUUCAAGUUUCAAGUUAAUGUUUUGCAAAAACUCUCCUUCCCUGCAGUCCAAAAAGUUGAAUCUUCCACAGAAUCCUUUUCGAACCUCAACAAAAAGCCUGACCAGAAGAGAACUCUUGACUACAUAUAUCUCGGCAACAAAUGCGGGAUACAGAGAUGGUUUUCAUACCAUAAGUUUCAAAGUAAUUUUUAAAAGCGCAAAAAAUUGAAACGGGUGUUUUACCUACCUACCUAUCUUUACCGAGUUAUGCAAGCCAGAAAAGAGUUUGGACACCAGAGUCGAACGUGAGAUAGUUAUGUAUAAAAUACCUCUUAUCUGCGUAUUACCGAUAAGUAUAAACAAACAAAGGAUAUUAAGAUAAUGGCUAAGCUAUGGCGCAUAAUACGUUUUUCAAUAAAUAUAAUAAAAGCCACGUAAGGUUGAUUUAUAUUGUUUCCACAGCUGUUUCGAUGAACAAUCGAGAAUCUGUUGCCAACCGGUUAAGUUCGAUUCGGAGAGCAUAGAAUCUGGUUUGAAGAAAUUAUUUAAUUUUAUAUAAUUAUAAUUAGUCAAUUUGAUCUUUAUCGAGUUCUACCUGCAUUGCAAAACCGAUCUUUUGGCAAGACUUUCCAAUGACGUUCACAGCCCUCUGUGGUGGUCACAGGGUUAAAGAUUAAAUAAUUUGUUGCCAACUGUACACUGGAAAGAAUUGGACUCGCUAAAACUAUUCAGCGGAACGUUACAUAAGCAUACAACCCAAUAAGCUGUAACUACUGAAAAUGUCACAAAUGUUAAUGAAAUGACCGUAAUCUGAAUCAGUUAGUAUUACCUACCUAGGCGUAAACGUUCACAGUUACUUAGGAAUGCAGUAGUUUUAAAGUACCAUUUUGAUAUAUCCAAAAUUGAAAUCGAGCUAUAUAAUUUUAUUACAUUGUAGAUGCCUUGUUUAUGUAGGUAUAUUGUAUAGUGAAGUAAUUGGUAAAUGUGAGUUAAUAUUACGAAAAAAAAGGCAAGAUGGAAAACAUUGAUUUAAUAAAAAAAAAUAGAAACAAA